GGGAGCAUGGGAACCCUGAAAGGAUGGCACGGCCUCCCCCCCAUGAACUUGGUGCUGUCGGAGCGUGGAGUAUUUUUCCAACUCUCAGCCCCAUUCCCACGGCCGAACUGAGAACGUGAACAAAGAGGCGAGCGUCCCCUUUGGCACCAAUCGUAAGCCAGUGUUCACUGCAGCCUCACCUGGAGAUGCAAUUUGAUAGAAGAAUGAGAAGAAGAAAAGAAACAGAGCCGGGGAACGCCUGGUGGGCCGGCCUUGUCGCCAGCCAUUGGUCACUCAGCCUCAUGCCGCACAGGGGUGGCCUCUGCCCCUUGGUGCCCAGGGACCCCCUCCUGGGGGAUGGGAACUGGUUGGGCCUGCAGGCAGGUGACAGGGAUGCUUCCUGUGAGGUGGGAGGAAGUGAACACGAAGGGGCGGGGCCUGACACCCGCGUGACACUCACGUGUGGGCAGAUUGGCUUCGGGAAAGAGCAGGACGCUGAGGACCUGGAAGCCGGGUCCCUCGGGAAAGUCACACGGCGCUCUCGACCCCCAGGCGAACCCCGGCCCGUCCGUAACCCCGUGUCUCCACGGAGCCGCCACGCAGUUCACCACCCGCAGCGAGCACUGCACGGGGAUCAGAGCUCAGGCGACCGACUCCCAGGCCCACUCCCCCACCACGCUGUGCGCUGAACACAAGGGUCACCCGUGGGGACGUGCACAGGACCCAUGUGGUCUCAGAACUUGCCUGGCGUGUGGGCGACCCCACUGCUGAGCUCACGGUGUGGGAAGACGGAUGCACCCGCAUCCACGGAGAAGGCCCACGUGCAUUCUCCCCUUGCCGCACCCCCCCCACCUCCACCCCGAGAAAUCCCUUCGGCUGCCCCAGAAUCGUCGCUCUGCGGCCAGCAGGUGGCAGCACCGCCUCACCACUGUCCUGGGGACUUGGUUGCUGGCUGACUCACCCUCUGGGGAAAAUUCCGUUGUGGAGACUGAGGUGAAGCGGAGACAAAGUUCAAGCCCUCCCCUCCUCUCCCCCCUCCCCUCCCAGGCAGCAGCCUCAGCACCUGGCUCACUGACUGCUUUUCCUGGAAUUUCUCUUCCUUGCAGCCUGAGAGCAAGCAUGUCAGACUCGCAGCCCACCGGCUGCAUGCGGCCCACAACAAAUAUUUUUGGGGCCCAGCCACUGUAACGGUUGUAAGAAACGGUUUAAUGAAAAUCUAGUAACUUAAUUUUUCCAAUAUCCUGUUAUACGUAAUCUAUAUCUCGUAUAUAAAAGCCUAAGCGACCGGUCGCUGUGAUGCACGCUGACCACCAGGGGGCAGACACUCAAUGCAGGAGCUGCCCCCCGUGGUCAGUGCGCUCCCAAAGCAGGAGCACCGCUCAGCUGACGGAGGGGCGCCAGGGUGAGUGGGAGCCGCAGCAGCGCUGGCCGGGCUGAUUUCAGCCCAGUCCCCGGAGGCUGUGCCGGGGGACCCCACCGGUGCACGAGCUACAACGUUCGCUAAUGACGGGUGGCUGUAAUCGUGCUGCAUUCAUCUCCCUACGCACCUUACGCGCAGGGCGCACCAUUUUCCACUAACACCAGCAGCGAAUAUCUUAGCAGCGAUGGCCUUCGUCAUUU